GACAGAAAGUGCUAUACUAGAGCAGAGGAAAUCCAGACAGGUCGUUUCCAUCUGCCUGGGGCCUGUCUCUACAACUCUGCCACAUUC
rnacentral:snoRNA from 1 species